UGAAAAACAGAGUUUAAAACAGCUGCAAUUUGAAAGAGAUAAUCAAUCUUUGUCCUUCAUCGCUCAUUCAAGCACUCAAUUCAUUUCAACCUAUCACAAGUAUGCUUCCAGACAAAAAAGAAGAAUGGAGAUAAUUCCAGAAUAGACAGAAACAGUAUCUAAAAGGAAUGAGCUUCAUGAUUAACCUUUUACCCUGAAUAACUGAGUAUAAAGCUGACCUUUGGAACAUUUUAUCAACUCUAGAAGCCUCCACUCAGCCACUGCCUACUGUUUCAUGAUCUCAGCCUCAUCCAUCCCAAUUAAUCUCCAUCAAAACUUGAGUGGGAGGCAAAGAGGGAGGGGACUUUUCCAUGCCAAUCAGAAGAAAAAACAAAAAAAAACAGGAAGAUUUAUUGAGGGAAAGUUUAGAGCGGAGGAAGGGAUGUCUUAGCCGAUUUCAGUAUGUUCCCAAUUUUGGAAUUUCCGUUUCACAUUCAAAGUUUCAAUCUUUAAAGGCAAUGGAAGAUAUGAAUUUGGCAGGCAAUGGAAGUCUCGCUUUAUAUAUAAAGAUUAAAGCCAAAGCAGCCACCGAGACCUCACCAUUUCCACUGCUUCAGUCUCCCCAAGCUAAAGACUCCGCCUCUGAGGUCAGGUUGAAGAGAGAUUUGGAGAUGAAGGUUGAAGAGAGAUUUGGAGAUGAGGGGUGCUGAUGGAGGACCGGCCUUGGAGAAACUUAUGUGCUUUGCUUGCAUUUUGGGUAAUAAGCCAACCGACUGCAACCUUCUCUUUCCAGAUUGCUUUGCUUGCAUUUCAAUUAGAUAUAGCAUGGAGGCCAUCUCUACUUUGAUGAAGGUGUAAGGAACUCAAGACAACACCAACUGGAAACAAGAGCAUUAGAUGUGACCUUUCGUGAGGAGUUCUAAAUUAAAGGACCUGCAGACUCAAAACCAACAAAUGCUGUGAACAAUGAACCAGCUAAAGAUGCGGAGUCUGAACUGCAAUCAUACACAAGUUUUUUGCCAAGUUUGACCAUUUUUUGUAAUAUGCACAUAUACACCUACUUGGUUAGCAUAUUUUGAAAUCUGGCUAAAGUACCAAAUUUUGGAUCAUGUAAAACAAUGUCUAAUGUAAUAUAUAAUGCUCUUAUAUAGUGUACCUAAUGUUUGUAAAUUCAA